UCUGGACCGCUGUACUCAGCAUCACCCCAGCGUGAUGAAGUGAAGUCCCUGGUCUGCUGAAUAGUGGGACUGGCCCAGAGAGGCUCUGUGAUGGAUGUGGGUUAUCCCAGCCAGAGUACCUGGUACCAUUGGUGGUGAUCUCGUCCAACUGCCACACAACGAACAGGAACAUCCACAGCCAGAUCAGGGACUUCACCUGACUGCCUCGACUUCUCAAAUACCUCUGAGAGUGGCUCGGUGACUGCAGUGGUGAAUUCCCUCAGAGCUCUGGGACUCGUCUCAUCAGGACCCAGAGACUCCUGGAUGUUCAGGUUCUCAGGUGGUAGCGGAGCUGCGGUGUUCCCGAGUGCUGUAACAACUGCAUUGGGAU